rnacentral:rRNA from 1 species
UACGGGGGGGGCAAGCGUUGUUCGGAAUUACUGGGCGUAAAGGGCUCGUAGGCGGCCAACUAAGUCGGAUGUGAAAUCCCCAGGCUUAACCUGGGAACUGCAUCCGAUACUGGAUGGCUUGAAUCCGGGAGAGGGAUGCGGAGUUCCAGGUGUAGCGGUGAAAUGCGUAGAUAUCUGGAGGAACACCGGUGGCGAAGGCGGCAUCCUGGACCGGCAUUGACGCUGAGGAGCGAAAGCCAGGGGAGCAAACGGG